UUGCUCUUCAACGAGGAAUGCCUAGUAAGCGCAUGUCAUCAGCAUGCGUUGAUUACGUCCCUGCCCUUUGUACACACCGCCCGUCGCUACUACCGAUUGAAUGGCUCAGUGAGGCCUCCGGACUGGCUCGAAGAGGUUGGCAACGACCACUUCGAGCCGGAAAGCUGGUCAAACUCGGUCAUUUAGAGGAAGUAAAAGUCGUAACAAGGUUUCCGUAGGUGAACCUGCGGAAGGAUCAUUACCUAGAGUUUGUAGACUUCGGUCUGCUACCUCUUACCCAUGUCUUUUGAGUACCUUCGUUUCCUCGGCGGGUCCGCCCGCCGAUUGGACAACAUUCAAACCCUUUGCAGUUGCAAUCAGCGUCUGAAAAAACAUAAUAGUUACAACUUUCAACAACGGAUCUCUUGGUUCUGGCAUCGAUGAAGAACGCAGCGAAAUGCGAUAAGUAGUGUGAAUUGCAGAAUUCAGUGAAUCAUCGAAUCUUUGAACGCACAUUGCGCCCCUUGGUAUUCCAUGGGGCAUGCCUGUUCGAACGUCAUUUGUACCUUCAAGCUUUGCUUGGUGUUGGGCGUUUUUGUCUCCCUCUUUCUGGGAGACUCGCCUUAAAACGAUUGGCAGCCGGCCUACUGGUUUCGGAGCGCAGCACAUUUUUUGCGCUUUGUAUCAGGAGAAAAGGACGGUACUCCAUCAAGACUUUUACAAUUUUAACUUUUGACCUCGGAUCAGGUAGGGAUACCCGCUGAACUUAAGCAUAUCAAUAAGCGGAGGA
rnacentral:rRNA from 1 species